rnacentral:rRNA from 1 species
UACGGAAGGCAGCAGUGGGGAAUAUUGCACAAUGGGCGCAAGCCUGAUGCAGCCAUGCCGCGUGUAUGAAGAAGGCCUUCGGGUUGUAAAGUACUUUCAGCGGGGAGGAAGGCGAUGCGGUUAAUAACCGCGUCGAUUGACGUUACCCGCAGAAGAAGCGCCGGCUAACUCCGUGCCAGCAGCCGCGGUAAUACGGAGGGUGCAAGCGUUAAUCGGAAUUACUGGGCGUAAAGCGCACGCAGGCGGUCUGUUAAGUCAGAUGUGAAAUCCCCGGGCUUAACCUGGGAACUGCAUUUUGAAACUGGCAGGCUUGAGUCUUGUAGAGGGGGUAGAAUUCCAGGUGUAGCGGUGAAAUGCGUAGAGAUCUGGAGGAAUACCGGUGGCGAAGGCGGCCCCUGGGACAAAGACUGACGCUCAGGUGCGAAAGCGUGGGGAGCAAACAGGGAUUAGGAUACC